CAGAGUCAACAGCUCUUUACCAGUGGAAGAUAAAUUGAAUUAUACGGAUGGGAAGCUUGGAUUCGUACAGGGUAUGGCUGAAUCCGGAUUUUCAUGUGACUCGUUAGAGUCAGAAACAUAUGUACUCGGUGCUCCAGGUCUGAACUCCUGGAGAGGUGGAUUUGCUGUAAUAAAGGGAGGUAACUACGAAGAUUCAAUAGUAGAUAUUCCAAGACAAAAACAAAAGAUGAACGAUAAUCUAGGUUAUGCUGUUGUGGGAGGCCGUUUUUGUUCUAACAAAAGGAUAUGUUUUGCUGCUGGGGCA